rnacentral:rRNA from 1 species
CCUACCGUGGCUAUGACGGGUAACGGGGAAUUAGGGUUCGAUUCCGGAGAGGGAGCCUGAGAAACGGCUACCACAUCUAAGGAAGGCAGCAGGCGCGCAAAUUACCCAAUCCUAAUACAGGGAGGUAGUGACAAGAAAUAACAAUACAGAGCCUUACGGUUUUGUAAUUGGAAUGAGUUAAGUAUAAACCCCUUAACAAGUAUCAAUUGGAGGGCAAGUCUGGUGCCAGCAGCCGCGGUAAUUCCAGCUCCAAUAGCGUAUAUUAAAGUUGUUGCAGUUAAAAAGCUCGUAGUUAAUUUUCUGUUAAUUUUUAUAUACAAUGCUACGGUAUUUAUAUAAUAUUAACAUAAUUCAUAUUACUUUUUAGUAUAUGAAACUUUACUUUGAGAAAAUUAGAGUGCUUAAAGCAGGCUAUUGCCUUGAAUACUCCAGCAUGGAAUAAUAUUAAGGAUUUUUAUUCUUCUUAUUGGUUCUAGAAUAAAAAUAAUGAUUAAUAGGGACAGUUGGGGGCAUUUGUAUUUAACAGUCAGAGGUGAAAUUCUUAGAUUUGUUAAAGACAAACUACUGCGAAAGCAUUUGCCAAGGAUGUUUUCAUUAAUCAAGAACGAAAGUUAGGGGAUCGAAGACGAUCAGAUACCGUCGUAGUCUUAACCAUAAACUAUGCCAACUAGAGAUUGGAGGUU